AACUAUGCUUAAAUUAAGCAAUAAAACACUGCAAGUUGCAAGUUGUAACGUAUUAGCAUACACCACACUGCAAGGAAGAACUCCACAACAGGAAACAGCUUCAAAGUAUAUUUGUACCAGUACUGCUGAGAGUAUCUUCACAACGGUGACUUUACACAACUUGAGUCACACGACCAACUAUUCCACACUGAAUAUAACAGAACAGGACUAAACAUCAAAUGAGGCAACGUCCACGGGGUCCUGUUACAAAUGUGACCAUUAGUAAGCCUUUAGGUUCCAGUUCCUUCGUCCUCUGAGGGACAACCUGAGUUAAUGAGAGAGCACAAAGGAUACAAGAGCUGGCAGUCUUACUUGCUAUGUCUUUGGGGAAUACAAAGUCUGCAGAUGUGGUUGGGACAUAUCAAAGAGAGAAACAUCCACAGAUUCAUCAACCAAAGCUGAAUAAGUCACUUGAGGGCAUGCACACUUACUGUAACUAACUAUAGCUGCACCUGAAGUGUAAUGGAACCUCCUUGAAGAAGAAACAUUAUAUUAACAUUCCUAGUAAGUGUGGCCAAAGGCACGAGAAAGGCCUGUUGAAGUGAGGUGGGGGCUGGUAUCUCCUUCCAAGUAACAAGCAAUAGGGCAAGAGGAAGAGGCCUCAAGAUGUACCAGGGGAGGUUUAGAUUUGAUGUUAGGAAAAAUUUCUUCACAGAAAGGAUUGUCAAGCAUUGGAACAGGCUGCUCAGGGAAGUUAUUCACUUCCUAUCCCUAGAGGCAUUUAAAAGAACUGUGGUAGACACGGAACUCAGGCAUGUGGUUCACUGGUGGAUUUAGCAGUGUUAGAUUUACAACUGGACUCUAUGAUCUUAAACACCUUUCCCAGCCUGAAUGAGUCUGUGAUUUGAUGCUCCUAAAUUCUCAGAACUAUAUUCAGAAAAGUCUGAAGGACAGGUCUAGGAAAAACCCUCCCACUGCCGGCAUAAGCUCUUCCUUCUUCGCUCCCUGUUGCACAGAUACCUGCAAGCAGCUCGUUCCCACACGGGUUUACAUUUCCUGCCAUCUAUACAGAUCCUUCUGCACAGAGCUGCAAACACCAAGACUGUGCUCCUUCCUGUGGCAAUGAUUCUUCUGGUACAUGUGAAUAAACCUGACUCUACAGAUAGAUAUCAACUGCAGAGAGAUGUAAACAGAAAAAGAGGCUUCUUUCCUCCUAAUGAAUUUAGAGACUUCUUCUGACCUCAGUCAGCAUAACUUUCUUGGAUGUAAAAGAGUUUUUCAAGCUGAUGAAUUCACUGUGUGAUUUUUCUGGAAAUAUGGAAAUCUCAUUUUCUCUGGUGCUGAUGGGAAGAGGACAUCACCUGCUUACCAGCCUGGCAGUAAUGUGGAUGUCACACCAGCCUCAUCAAGCCAGCUUCAACUGAGCCAUCACCUUCAUCUCUCCUGUGACAAGGCAGUUCCACUGUUAAGAAGAUGCACUUACAGAGACUUUUCUCACAGAGAGAGUGGCUACAUUUUCAAACUCACUGCCAAGGAUCAGUGGCCCUCCAUCUCCAUCACUCACAGAAACGCAUCCAAAGCAUUAUUUCAUCUUAAUUUUCCCACAAAAGACCCUCUUAGGUACGUCAGGACUCUCACCCAUAUUCAGAAAGGCCCAGCAGUAAGUUUUAAGUGCACUCCUGUCACGAGAGCUUCAAGGGGAAAGAUUUGUGCAUUUACUUCUAGAUACCACAGUUAUGGAUGAGCUUAGGCCACAUAAAGGAAUUAAAUGCAAUGCCCUAGGAGAAGUUAGAUGCUGUUUCUGACUGAAUGACUUCAAGAGUGUGUGCAAGUGUUCUAAUUUACGAGAAAAGUGAAAUAGGAAGCAUCUGAAUGUGUUCAGUAGCAUUUUUUUUUCUCAAAGCAUAAAGUUUUUAUUCUCUUGGUUUGAUCAUAUUUGACUUCUGGCACCAGCCUGUUCCUUCUAUAUGGUAUCAGGUAUGACUGCAAUAAAAGAAUUAAAAUUCUA